UAGGGAAUCUUCCACAAUGGGCGAAAGCCUGAUGGAGCAACGCCGCGUGUGUGAUGAAGGGUUUCGGCUCGACAAAACACUGUUGUAAGAGAAGAAUGACAUUGAGAGUAACUGUUCAAUGUGUGACGGUAUCUUACCGGAAAGGAACGGCUAAAUACGUUCCAG
rnacentral:rRNA from 1 species